GAUGAAGAACGCAGCGAAAUGCGAUAAGUAAUGUGAAUUGCAGAAUUCAGUGAAUCAUCGAAUCUUUGAACGCACAUUGCGCCCCUUGGUAUUCCGAGGGGCAUGCCUGUUCGAGCGUCAUUAUAACCCCUCAAGCUCAGCUUGGUGUUGGGGCCUGCUGCACUGGCAGCCCUUAAAAUCAGUGGCGGCGCCGUCUGACUCUAAGCGUAGUAAUUCUUCUCGCUAUGGAGUCCUGGUGGAUGCUUGCCAUCAACCCCCAAUUUUUCUAUGGUUGACCUCGGAUCAGGUAGGGAUACCCGCUGAACUUAAGCAUAUCAAUAAGCGGAGGA
rnacentral:misc_RNA from 1 species